CUGGAAGAAGGGUUUGAUCCUGGCUCAGGGUGAACGCUGGCGGCGCGCCUAACACAUGCAAGUCGAACGGAGAAAGGGGAGCUUGCUCCUUGAGUAUCAGUGGCGAACGGGUGAGUAAUACGUAGGGACCUACCUCACGGACAGGGAUAGCUACUGGAAACGGUAGGUAAGACCGGAUAAUAUCGAGAGAUAAAAGCAGAGAAGCGCCGGGAGAGGGGCCUACGACCCAUCAGGUAGUUGGUAGGGUAAAAGCCUACCAAGCCG
rnacentral:rRNA from 1 species